rfam:Triticum aestivum genome assembly, contig: Triticum_aestivum_CS42_TGACv1_scaffold_130314_2BL
CAACUACUCCCUCUGUCCCAAAUUUCUUGUCAUAGAUUUGUCUAGAUAUGGAUGUAUCUAAUACUAAAAUGUGACUUGAUACAUCUAUAUCUAGACAAAUCUAAGACAAGAAUUUUGGUACAGAGGGAGUACUUU